rnacentral:siRNA from 1 species
UGAAUUUAAUCUGGUUUGUGUCCU